rnacentral:rRNA from 1 species
AUACGUAGGUGGCGAGCGUUGUCCGGAAUUACUGGGUGUAAAGGGCGUGUAGGCGGGAAUGCAAGUCAGAUGUGAAAUACCAUGGCUCAACUGUGGGGCUGCAUCUGAAACUGUGUUUCUUGAGUGCUGGAGAGGAAAGCGGAAUUCCUAGUGUAGCGGUGAAAUGCGUAGAUAUUAGGAGGAACACCAGUGGCGAAGGCGGCUUUCUGGACAGUAACUGACGCUGAGGCGCGAAAGCGUGGGGAGCAAACAGGAUUAGAUACCCUGGUAGUCCACGCCGUAAACGAUGGAUACUAGGUGUAGGAGGUAUCGACCCCUUCUGUGCCGGAGUUAACACAAUAAGUAUCCCACCUGGGGAGUACGGCCGCAAGGCUGAA